GACUGUAAAGGACAGCAGGAAUGUGCUCAUCACUGGAGCAACCGAGGGAUACGUGGUCAGUCCUGGAUUCGCGAACGGCACGAGCUACCCGGACAAUUUUUACGGCAGUGUGACGAUUGAGUCCACGAAAAGGAGGAGGUACGAGAAACUGU
rnacentral:lncRNA from 1 species